rnacentral:tRNA from 1 species
CCGGCCAUCAGUUCGUACGGCAGGGUGCCGAGUUCGAAGCGCUCGGGCACGUCGUCGGUGGCGGGCAGCAGCUUCGCAGGCCGCAGGUCGGCC